rfam:Picea glauca, whole genome shotgun sequence.
ACAUGCCUACGACAUAAUGUUAAUGCAUGAGAUCCCAUUAGAACUCCGCAGUUAAGCGCGUUCAAGCUUGAGUAGUACUGGGAUGGGUGACUGCCCAUGAAGUCCUAAUGUUUUACAUGUC